rnacentral:lncRNA from 1 species
CUGAGCAUAAAGUACAAUCUCAAAUGAACCUAGACUGCUGUUAACAGCCACAUGUGGUUAUUUAACCAAACUCUUAAAUUUGCCAGGCUGUAUCUUUAAAAGUAUUCUUUUCAUCACAGUAUUCAAAAGUGUCCUUGAACCAUCAUUCCUCUGUUAAUUAAAAGUAAGCUAGAUAGUGUAGGCAUUCUGUGAGCCAGCACUCUAAAUAUCACUUUUAAAUAGUGUUAAAAAGCUUCCAGUCCUUUGGAAAUUACAUGACAGCUCUUACUUGUAGAAUGCAAAGACCAUUUUUUCUGCUAUGUGCACUCAUUAAAAUGGUGAAUUCUGUUUUCUGCAGACACGACGUCAAGACAUGCAAGAGUACUUUGGAGAGAACUGGCAAUAAGCGUUGCAGUACCAUGGUGGCAAUAACACUGGCUGUCCUCUGGAGAUGCUGAAGCUCAGCCUUAUUUUGAACUUCUUUCUUAGACCCUGCAACUUGUUCACGAAGGACUGCUACUGAUUUGGAUUCAUAUGGUCAUGGAUUACUGUGACUUUCCAGUACUAGCCUACAUAAGCAACAAGAAUCUCUGGCUGGGCUCAGUUCAGAUCCUCAUGCACAGUGUUUUACUACAAAUCCUGCCUAGCCUCCAGCUGCUCCAGAAGAUUCUGUUAAAUCCUGUGUGCUGCCUACCAGCCUUGUCCGGGUGUUCUGGUUACAAUGGUGUCUACUGUGGAUCAAGCUGAAUCAAUCUCCAGGGUCUAUUGACCAUGCCUGCCUUGACUUCUCAGGUAGUUCACAGCCCCAGCUCUCAGGUAGACAUAAUUAGGUGUCCAAUGCUAGCCAAGAUUCCCUUGUUCUGUCCUCCUGGUUCCUAGUUACUGUUCCAAAAAGACACUGGUCUCACAGAAGUCUCAUGUCAUCUGCAAGCCCUGUCUGGACUCCUGAGUGUCUCAGAAGUAUUAGAUACUUUUUGCUCUAGAGGCUGGUGUCAAAGCGGAGGGCUCUGCUUUGUUACCAAACAACCACAGCUGUCCUGUUGUCCUUUUGAAGAGGCUCCUAGAGAUGAACUAGUAGCAUCCUGUUCCACCUUCAGGAAAUUGCAUGUAGUAAGGGAUGGGAUUAAUUUCACCUAACUUAACAGAUCAAACACUUAGCUAGUCUACAGAAAGAGUCUAGACAACUAGCUUGGUAAUAUAAAAAGGGUUUUGUGAUGAAGAGAUGCCUGAGCCAAGUGAGAUGAUGGUGCUUAAUUCUUCCUCAUGGCUGAAGAGCAAACCUGAGUGGCUAAUUUGAGCUGCAGCCAUGGAGUGUACACCUACAUGGUCUGCUAAUGAAACGGUGAUUAGACUGCAGUUGUGCACUAAGGCACACCCAGACACAAGAACAGCCCAGAAACUCAAGUGUCCAGAGUGCUUUGUCUGUUGCUAUGUUGGGGACUGCACCACAGCAAGUGUCCAGGCACUGCCUGUGGGACAGCAGGGGGAGAGGAGGUGAAGCAGACCCUGCUCCUGGUCGUUUAGGAGACUCCUAGAGGGUAGAGAGGUAAGGCUUUAAAACAUUUCCAUUGAAGAUAUGAAGGUAGCUCACCAGGUCUGAGUCCAUGCCUAUAUGCUAUAUAUAUAUAUAUAUAUAUAUAUAUAUAUAUAUAUAUAUAUAUAUAUAUAGGAAUCUGCUAUGUGAGUAGGGCUACAGCCCACUAAACUAUCCCCACCCUCUCUCAAACACCCAUUUAUGAGCUUGAUG